rnacentral:lncRNA from 1 species
AGAGAAUUAAAAACUAAAUUGUGGAGACUUAUGAAAAGGGAAGGGAGGGGUCAUGAAGGUGGAUGGGUCUUAUUGACUUAAAUAGGUGUUUGAAGAAAGUCAAAAGGGAGAUUCCUUUGGCACAUUCACGGUUAAAAGUAAAAAUGGAAAACAAACUGCAGAAAGAGAAAAUUGAUUACAAAUGGGAUUUUCUACUUAAAGAAGCUCUAUAAUAUAAGAUAAUCCAUAUAAGAG